rnacentral:lncRNA from 10 species
GGCGGACUCGGGACUGCUGCUAAAGCGGGGUUCCUGCCGUUCCACUUGGCUGCGGGUCCGCAAGGCCCGGCCCCAGCUCAUCCUCAGCCGCCGGCCCCGCCGCCGGCUCGGGAGCCUGCGCUGGUGCGGUCGGCGGCGCCUACGGUGGCGGUUACUGCAAGCCCAGGCGUCCGGCGUGGACUGGAGGGAGGGAGCCCGCCAGGUGUCGCGCGCGGCGGCGGCCCGGAGACCCAACACCGCGACCCCCAGCCCGAUCCCUAGCCCGACCCCGGCCUCCGAACCCGAGUCCGAACCCGAACUCGAAUCCGCCUCGAGUUGCCACCGGCCUCUCCUCAUCCCACCGGUGCGGCCCGUGGGCCCCGGCCGCGCGUUGCUGCUGCUGCCGGUCGAGCAGAUGACAGGCGUUGGUCGAUGCAGAAUUUUUCUCCUCAGUGUUCCAUUGUGUUGCUAGAACAUCUGAAAACUGCCACUGUAAACUUCAUAACCAGCUAUCCGGGUUCAUCCUACAUUUUUGUGCAAGAGGUAGAACCCGUUUUCAUUCAGAGUUUUGCUAAUUACUUGCACCAAAACAGUGAUUUCAAAUGACUAUGUAGGAUGUUGUCUUGGAAGAACAGUUGGUCUAUCUAGUGCUCUCAGUCCUACAGAAUGUAAUACGUGUAUACGGAAACUAUUAUAGAAAGGUGUAUCGUGAAAAAUGUUCAUCCUCCCCUCCUUAGUUUCAUACCUGAGCC